GAUGAACGCUGGCGGCGUGCCUAAUACAUGCAAGUCGAGCGAACAGACGAGGAGCUUGCUCCUCUGACGUUAGCGGCGGACGGGUGAGUAACACGUGGAUAACCUACCUAUAAGACUGGGAUAACUUCGGGAAACCGGAGCUAAUACCGGAUAAUAUAUUGAACCGCAUGGUUCAAUAGUGAAAGACGGUUUUGCUAUCACUUAUAGAUGGAUCCGCGCCGCAUUAGCUAGUUGGUAAGGUAACGGCUUACCAAGGCAACGAUGCGUAGCCGACCUGAGAGGGUGAUCGGCCACACUGGAACUGAGACACGGUCCAGACUCCUACGGGGGGCAGCAGUAGGGAAUCUUCCGCAAGGGGCGAAAGCCUGACGGAGCAACGCCGCGUGAGUGAUGAAGGCCUUCGGAUCGUAAACCUCUGUUAUUAGGGAAGAACAAAUGUGUAAGUAACUAUGCACGUCUUGACGGUACCUAAUCAGAAAGCCACGGCUAACUACGU
rnacentral:rRNA from 1 species